GGUCAGCUGACACAUCCCUGCCAAUCUCCGGCAGACCCUCCCUCCCAGACCCUCCUACUUCCUGGACAGCAUCCAUGUUGAAGGCAGCUUCAACAUGGAUGCUGUCCAGGAGGUGGGAGAGUCUGGGAGGGAGGGUCUGCCAGAGAUUGGCAGGGAUGUGUCAGCUG